UCCGAGUUGACCCCGGCAGUCUCCCAUGAGUCCCCGCCAUCACGUGCUGGCAACAUGGAACGAGGGUUGCGCUCGUUGCGGGACUUAACCCAACAUCUCACGGCACGAGCUGACGACAGCCAUGCACCACCUGUACACCGACAAUAAAGGGGCCUCAUCUCUGAGGCUUUCCGGCGUAUGUCAAACCCAGGUAAGGUUCUUCGCGUUGCAUCGAAUUAAUCCGCAUGCUCCGCCGCUUGUGCGGGCCCCCGUCAAUUCCUUUGAGUUUUAGCCUUGCGGCCGUACUCCCCAGGCGGUCAACUUCACGCGUUAGCUUCGUUACCAAGGAAUCGCUCCCCCAACACCCAGUUGACAUCGUUUAGGGCGUGGACUAC
rnacentral:misc_RNA from 1 species